rnacentral:lncRNA from 1 species
AGUAUGUAUAAAGCAUUAUGCCGAGGUAAAACUUCUGAAGUUCCAACUUUAAUCAACUUCAUAAUAAGCACGCAUGUCACCUUGCGGCGACGCGAUUAUGCUAUCCGAUCAAAUAAGAUCUGCGCGCCGCUCACCGUGACCGUAAGCACUGUUCGUGUGAAUGUCCCUUAACACUCAGGCCAGAUGACGUCGAAUCAUACGAUGUUCUUCCAGCGAUGUGAUUGGCUGCUGAUAAGCAAAGUAAAUCAAAACAUUAACCCGUGGUGUUUUGGCUAUGUUGACCAGGUUAUUCUGUGAUUUUUAAUGUAAUUAUUAAUUGAUUCCAAAGUUUUUCAAGGGAAAUGGAGACAUCUAGCGACGGAGCUCACUCUGCUGGGAAACCCUGUGCUGAUUCAAAUAUGAGUGUCCCUAAUUUCAAUUUGAAACUGGACGAUUUCAAUCUUAAUGAAAUCGGGGGCCUGGACGGCCUGAUAAGCAGUUGUGAAAAUGAUCUAUUUUCAAAGGACGGUUGGCUGUGUAAUGAAGAGGAUCAACUCUUGCCUCUAUUGAACAGUGACAGUAUGAAGAUGGAAGAUGACCAUUUGUUACCUCUGUUAAAUGGUGACACAAUGAAAAUGGACCAAGACGUUUCGUUUGAUUUUUUUAAUCUCCCUAAUAAUUUACUGGAUGCCUCAAGUGACUUGCAGAAAAAUCAUGUCAAACCAGAACGAAAUCCCAUUCAAAAAGUGGACACAAGUCCAAAUAGUACUUCCCAACCGUUCCUCGCAGGCUACUCUGAUUACUUAAUGGCACCCUCUCGGACAGAAAAUGUCUCACUUUUGCAAAAUGUUAGUUUACCAGUCUCGGCUGCUGUGCUACCAGGAAACAUGCAAGGUCAAAUAUCAAUGCAACCAAGCCAACCUGUGUCUCGCACUGAUGCUGCUAAUUUCGGUAAUCCUGGCAGCACAAGUUCAAAUGUAGUCCUGAGCAGUGGCGCUAACACCUACAACCACAGGGCAGUGAUGACUAGCAACCAAACUAUUCUCAGCUCAUCGCAAUCACCAAAAGGAAGUCCCAAGACUUCAGUGGCUGCUCAAUCCCAAGUUCCUGUUUUUUCCAAUAUUAAACCCAAGCCAAAUCAGUCAAAUUUUCUACAGUCUGUUCAUUCACAGUCCUCAAAUCAACCGCCAAACAAGAAAAAUAAAACCACAGUGAAAGCGUCUAACAAUCAAGUGGUCACUGUCCAACCUCUCCACAUUCCUGGCAAACAGGUAACAAUUCCUCCAGGUCUAAAACUCAUUCUCUCAUUUCAGGUCAUCACUCAUUUUUACCCAUGGACCUGUUACUAUAUUCAAGACUAUUGAUCGUUAAAACUUUAAUCAGAUCUUUCUUUUAUUUCGACCUUCUCUUAAUCAUUCUAACAAGACAACAUUUAUGAGGGAAUGAAUAUAAAAUCAAAGGGCAGUAUGUAAAUAAGUAACAGGUUUGCUGUAUUACUUUUUUUUUUUGGCCUCAAUUAGUAAUCGCAG